GAUGAACGCUGGCGGAAUGCUUUACACAUGCAAGUCGAACGGCAGCACGGACUUCGGUCUGGUGGCGAGUGGCGAACGGGUGAGUAAUACAUCGGAACGUGCCCAGUCGUGGGGGAUAACGUAGCGAAAGCUACGCUAAUACCGCAUACGAUCUAAGGAUGAAAGCGGGGGAUCGCAAGACCUCGCGCGAUUGGAGCGGCCGAUGGCAGAUUAGGGAGUUGGUGAGGUAAAGGCUCACCAAGCCGACGAUCUGUAGCUGGUCUGAGAGGACGACCAGCCACACUGGGACUGCGACACGGCCCAGACUCCUACGGGAGGCAGCAGUGGGGAAUUUUGGACAAGGGGCGUAAGCCUGAUCCAGCCAUUCCGCGUGCAGGAUGAAGGCCCUCGGGUUGUAAACUGCUUUUGUACGGAACGAAAAGGCUCUGGUUAAUACCUGGGGCUCAUGACGGUACCGUAAGAAUAAGCACCGGCUAACUACGAGCCAGCCGCCGCCGUAA
rnacentral:rRNA from 1 species